rnacentral:rRNA from 1 species
UACGUAGGGUGCAAGCGUUAAUCGGAAUUACUGGGCGUAAAGCGUGCGCAGGCGGUUAUGCAAGACAGAUGUGAAAUCCCCGGGCUCAACCUGGGAAUUGCAUUCGAGACUGAAUAGCUAGGGUACGGUAGAGGGAAGCGGAAUUUCCGGUGUAGCGGUGAAAUGCGUAGAUAUCGGAAGGAACAUCAGUGGCGAAAGCGGCUUCCUGGACCAGUACCGACGUUCAGGCACGAAAGCGUGGGGAGCAAACAGG